rnacentral:lncRNA from 1 species
ACUGUGACAAUUAUUUCAAAAGCACAUAUAUAUUUUUUUUAUCUGACAAGCAAACAGCUUCGGUUCAUUAUUCAGGUAUUGGCUCCACGAACAGUAGUCGUAUCAUUUCUCUGAGUACUUCUGAAGAAGUGAACGCAUCAAAAUUCUUGUACAUAUUAUCCGUGGUUCUUAAAAAGUGCACCAGACACUGUUCGUUCGGUGCGCCAUUGGCAACACACUCUCAAGUCCUUUGCUCCAAAUUUAUUUGAGUCCCCAACUGAGUUUCUUUCUUGGUUUGUGUUGAACCUUAUGCACCUUAAGAUAAAUGACAUGUAGGCAAACUAGUUAGUCUAUUUGGUUUGUGAGAGCAUCUCCAAUAAUGUGCCCUAUAAAAAUGCUCUAUAAUUUUAAAACAUGUAUGUUUUAGAGAAUUUAGGUCACCAUAAAAAACAUAAACUCCAACAAUAAAGCCUCAAAUUGUCGAUAUCUGGCAACUUUCGCCACCAGUCUGGUAUUCCGGCGCGCAGCUACUAUUUUCUCCCGCGCGUCUCCCCUUUUUUCUCCCGCGCGACGCCUCUACUUUUCUCCUGCGCCCACAUCUUUUGCCCUCUCCACUCAGAUCGAUAGAGAUUGGAUGUUGCCGGCGACAGAGAUUGGACAUUUGCGCCAUGAUUCCUGCCCAUGAGACUACCAUCCGUCAGGUGGUUGUUUCCAGAUUUUUAAAUGUUCUUUAUUUCUUUCAUAUCUGCAUGUACACCAUUUGUUCUUUGUCUUGUUGCUGGAAUUUUUUAACUCAGUAAUUCUGAUAUGAACGAUGACUAUGAAACAUGCCCAACUGCCAUCGAUCAGGUGGUUGUUUUCAUAUUUUCAAACGUUAUUUAUUCCUUUCAGAUUUCCAUGUACAAUUAUUCUUUGUCUUGUUGCUGGAAUUUUUUAACUGGGUAAUCAUCAACUGAUUUUUCAUUUGAACGAUGACUAUGCAAUCAUGUUCAUCUAUGUCGAUGAUAAUUAACUUACUGUUUUGAAUUGCGUUGAUACAUUGUAGAGGAUGGCCAAAAUGAGGAGACACAUCAUUUAUCGCAAGGAUGACGGACUUGAUAACUUCAUGCUUCUUAUGAUGGGUGAAUAUCGGAAGAGGGAGUGUGGCAAGCGUAAAAGGCAUCGAGGUUCAGUUUUAGGACAUAAGGUUUAUGACCGGAGGAGGGAGGAAGGCGCUAAAAAACUAUAUCAGGAUUACUUUGAUGAAAAUCCGACAUAUCCUGAGAAAAUUUUUCGACGCCGCUUUCGGAUGAGUUCCCGUCUUUUAAACAAGAUCGCUAAAGCUGUUGAGGAGCAUGACCAUUAUUUUGUUCAGAAAGAAAAUGCUGCAGGUGUAUGUGGGUUUUCCUGUCUGCAGAAGGUAACAGCAGCAUUAAGACAACUGGCUUAUGGUGUACCAGCAGAUUAUGUUGAUGAGUAUGUGCGGAUAGGUGAAAGCACUGCUAUUGAGAGUUUGAGGAAAUUUGUUAGAUCUAUUGUUGAUGUGUUUAGCAAGGAAUAUCUGAGAGCCCCAAAUGCAGAUGAUACAGCCAGACUACUUAAUAUUGCAGAAAAGCGAGGAUUUCCUGGUAUGCUUGGAAGCAUUGAUUGUAUGCAUUGGAAGUGGAAAAAUUGUCCUACAGCUCAUCAGGGUAUGUAUUGCGGUCAUGUGAAAGAUCCAACUAUUAUUCUAGAGGCAGUUGCAUCUACCGAUUUAUGGAUAUGGCAUGCUUUCUUUGGUCUGCCAGGAUCGAACAAUGAUAUUAAUGUUUUGCACAGAUCUCCUCUUUUCGAUAGGCUUGCUAAUGGUGAAGCCCCAGAAGUUAAGUACACAAUUAAUGGUCAUAACUAUGACAUGGGCUACUAUCUCGCAGAUGGGAUUUAUCCUACUUGGUCGACAUUUGUCAAAACUAAGAAGGCACCAGCAAAUGUGAAGGACAAGAAUUUUGCUAAAGCUCAGGAGGCACAGAGGAAAGAUGUUGAGCGUGCUUUUGGUGUAAUGCAAGCUCGAUUUGCCAUUGUUCGAGGUCCGGCGCGAUUUUGGGAUGAAGCUACACUUCGAGACAUAAUGAUAGCAUGUGUAAUCAUGCAUAACAUGAUUAUUGAAGAUGAACGUAAUGACGACAGCUUAUAUGACUCAUAUGACAAGAAUGAUGCUGAUGUCAAGGAUGUAGUUUCACGAGCAGGGACUUCAAAGUUUACGUCCUUUGGUCAUAUGCGUGAAGAAAUCGAAAAUUCUCACGUACACCGUCAACUUCAGGAAGACCUUGUUGAACAUCUAUGGUUGCGUCGAGGACAAAUGGAGAAUCAUGAGUAGUUUCAUUUAUUCUAUUACAAUAUGGAUGUUAAUUUAUUUUUUCUUCUUUACAACUGGUUGUGCACGGUGUGGUCCAAGAUGGUUGUUUUUCUGUAUCUCUAGUUGCACUCACCAAUUUAUGUCUUAUUAGUUCAAUUUUUUGUUGAAUUUACAAAACUGAAUAAAUAGCUACGCAGUAGAAUGAACAAAGAUGAAACGCAUCAGUUUACUGGCUGUUUUUAGGAGCCCAACCCCACGAGAGAAAUUCAUACUAGUUAGUGGCUGGAUAUGGGUGACCACAAGUCCCAGGCAAACGCGACACUCUGCUUCAGUAGAGCGCUAAGAACAAAGAACAAUGAAGAAAAAUCCAGGAAUAUUAUUCAGUGACUUAUUCAGUACAAUCACACUGCAAAUAAAUCCAGAAAUAUUUAUUAUCUUAUUUAGAAACAUGACAGCUGACCUUAUUUAGAAAAAUCUAGUGACUCACAACCUAAAAAAACUUUGUCAGACCACACACUAUGGCUGCCUACUAUUGAAACGCCGAGCCACAAUUUCCUCUUUCAUUAACUUGUAAUACUGUUUUGACUCGUUGUCCAUCGUGGUAGUGUCGGUAUCCAUUAUUGUCUUGUCGUGUUGGUCUCGUUCUAGCUGUAGUCUACUCUUCUCUAUCUCCAACAGCUGAUCUUCACGACCUUUUUGGUCUCUAUCUAUUUCCAACCUUGCUUCUCUCAUUUUUUUAACUUCUUCAAUGAAAGGAUCAGUUUCGUCAUCUUCUCGCUUUCUUGCUCUCAUCUUUUCCUUCUCAGCUUUCCUUCCUGGUGGUCUUGCAACGUUGAGUUCACCACCAAUUUUACCAUCUCUAGCCGUGUUGUGUUCUUGGAUUGUGGCCCACUUCGGCUCGUGCCUAAGAACGUUCCAUGCAUGAAACAAAGAAAAAACCUUCUUCCUUAACCUUUGGUAUGUACCUUUUGCUUCGGCAAUCUACAAAGAAGCACAUAUUUGACACUUCAUUAUUUUCAACAGUCGUUAAAAUGUUUCAAACUAAAAGGAUCUGAAAUAAACUAUUCACCUUAUCAUUGAUUGUUUUCUCGCUUUCAUUUUUCCGUUCAAUGGCUUCAUAGAAACUAUUGAAAAUACUCACUUCCUUUGAGACUGUCGUCCAACGGUGCCGCAAGGAUGACCAAUUGCGAUUUGAUUCAAAGGUUUUAUUCUCACAAUAGUAUUUUUCAAUCCUUUCCCAAAAACGGCCAUCUUUUUGAUCCCUUCCAGCAAUAGGAUCUUUGCUAACAUUUAGAUACGCCGAAAUCAGCAACAUGUCCUCCUCCUCAGAAAAAUUUUUGGUUCUUCCCUUUGAAUGUGUUUGUGAGCUCAUGUCAGCUACAACCGGUGACUCAGGCAAAUCAUUAUCGCUUUCCACAUUGUCCUCUGAGCCUAGCCCUUCUACACAUUCUUGGUUCAACAGAUUAGUAUAAUAAUUUCCUUGGGAGGGUAUUGUGCUGCAAAACAAAUUAGAUAUAUCCAUUAUUACAAAAACAUUCGUACAAUUGUAGUAUAGUGCAAACAAAGCAGUGGUGAAGUCUCUGUUGAGAAUUAUAACAUUGACCCAAAGUGCAUUGUACGUUUGCAAAUUGGCAGUAAAACAAUAAUAAACAAGAGCAAGUCUAAAAAAUAAAAAUACAUGGCUGAUGCUUCAAGCUACAAUUCUGACAGCUACAUUUGAAUAUAGGAACCUGGCAAAACUGAUAUUGAAGGAGUUGACUCCUGAAAUGCAUGCUACGGUGGAACAAAUGCAUUGUUUAAAUGUGUUCACUGGGUUGAAAACAACUAAUGGGAUGGGCGUCCAUAUGAAGCAGCAUACCUGUACUCAGGAAACAUCCACGAAUUAUCAGUGUGCGCAGUGGGGAUUAUUCCAGAACUACGGACAAGAGCAUGGGGGCUCACAGCAGGGUUGAGACAGGAAUGACAGAAAUUAUCGCGGGGGGAAAAUUAGCGAGAGGCGACAAAGUUGGAUGGUCAUACCUGGACGUUGCAGGUCCUACAAGCCCUUGGGUAGGCGGCACGACGCCGAAAGUAAGACUUGUGGGGCGUCGUCCCAUGGCUGCUGCAUCGGUGUUGGUAGGAGCGGGGUGCUUGGAUCUAGGAGGAAGAUCACGGGGCAUCGCGCAGACGAAGGAAUCACCGGAUAUGGUCGGCGCUGCGUCCUGAAGGGCGGCAGAUCUGCGUCGCGAAGGGCAGAGGGGCGCUGCGUCGCGAAGGGCGGCGGCGCUGGGUGACGAGGAGUGGCGGCGUUGGUUCGCGGAGGGAGGGGCAGGUGAAUAUUCAGGUUGUUUGGAUUAGGAGAUAGGGCAGUCUAUUUGGUGCAAUAUAUUUGUCGCACUCUAGGAGGUGCCCUUUAUUUUUUAAACAAAAUUUGAUAAAAUAGGGCACUAUUGGAAGGCUUUUUUUUGACUUAGCCCUAUAAUUUAAUUUAGAGCACUAAUCUGGGGCACUGUUGGAGAUGCUCUGAUGGACGUCAACCACCAAAAUCGAUUAUAGGAAAUGAUUAGGCCUAUUUCCCUUUCAGUUUUACAAUUUGGGUAUUAUACUAAUAUCAGGUUUUUGGAUUGUUGGAGAAAUAAGCAUUUUCAGUUUUAAUUUAAUCCAGAAAUUCACAGUGAUAUAUGUGACGACAUGUAGGUGCAUAUAUGUAUCACUACUCACAUAAGCAUUAAACAACAGUAAAAUAUGCACGAAUACUAAUAAUAGAGAGUACCCUGCAGAGGGACCGAUGCUCGAGACAUAAGUGGUUCCGUUCACACGAGACAUCUCGUAUGUAUGUUCGAUGUAGUCGUACGCAGUCGAUGCAGGUAGAUGUACGCAGUGUAGUCCCACGAACAGCGCCGACGACGAAGAACUAGAUCAGCGUUGGUCGAGCAGAUGGAGCGAGCAGUUGCGAGUACGCUCCCCAAAAACCUGAGCGCCCGCACACCCGUGCAAGUGUAUCUCUGCAGACGACGAUUUCGGAGGCCUGCUCUCCCACACUCUCUGUGCUAGUAGAAGGUGGGAUGGGAAUGGCCACGUGCAACGCGUCUAAGACUGUUCGGUGUUCGUACGUACUGUAGUAACCAGAAGCAGCCCCACCUCCUCCGUAUAUAUACACGAGGCCAACGGACAGUAACGGUCGCCAUCGGAACUACCGUUAUAGCCAGCCAGAAAUUGACGCCAUCAGUGACGUCCGUUACUAGCUGAUAGUCAGCCCGUCCAUUACUAGCCAUAACACAUGAAACGGCCAGUAAAGGACGUCGGGAAUGGAUGGUCAUCACUCCAGACAAAAUGCGCAACCUUUAGGAAAGAAUAUAUUCAUACCAAGGUCCGAUCUACCACGGCCACGGCCCAGCCGGCGGCGCGCACGUGUGGCAGUUCUUCAUUAUUUUCUCAGCUUCUCAAUAGAUUCACCAAACGUCCACCUAUUUAAGUUGAUUGAACUGUCCCUUAAACUUACGGUAUGGUACUAAAGUACUAGUACACCGUAGCAUUAAAGUGUGUCUUUAGCAUUGACUAUUAUUGAAUAUUAAUUUGGCAUAGUCCCAUAUUAAUUAAACAAAUAUGACUACUGAUAUAUAAGUGAUAAAUGAAAUAGAGGAGUGCAUAUGGAAAUCCAGUUCUUUAUUAUCUGAGAAUCCAUGCAAAGUACAAUACAAUUAUAGCUAGGGUAACAUUUUUUUGUUUCCAAAUAUAACCUGUGAACAAUUAAGCAUUAGGACUGUUGUACUACGCUAGACCAAGAACACAGUACAAUUAUUUGUGUCAACAACCCUAUAUAUGUAGGUGUUGACUUUAUUUCGUGUAACAUAAUAUCACACCAUGCAUGUCCUCAAACAUGACUGUGACAAUUAUUUCAAAAGCACAUAUAUAAUUUUUUUUUUCUGACAAGCAAGCAGCUUCGGUUCAUUAUUCAGGUAUUGGCUCCACGAACAGUAGUCGUAUCAUUUCUCGGAGUACUUCUGAAGAAGUGAACGCAUCGCAAUUCUUGUACAUAUUAUCUGCGGUUCUUAAAAAGUCAAACACUGUUCGUGGCACAGC